rnacentral:lncRNA from 1 species
UUCUUUAACAUGUCUAGACACUACAAAACUGUAGGUCUGUUUUUGGGGCUUUUUGCUUUCUUUAACAAGUAGAUGGGUGUGUGUAUAUAUACUGUAUGCUUCCUUUACUUUCUAUAGUAUAGUUACAUCUGAAAGAUGUGUUACUUGUGUUGGAAUGCUUGAAGAUUUGUAUUAUACUCCUUUGAUCCAGUACAAUCAUGUCCUACAUAUGUUGCAGGUGUGUUAAAAAACAGAGUGAAAAAGAAAGUAACAUUAUUUUCUUAAAACAUUUCGGGCACAAUUUUCAUCUCUUUGUUUAUUCCCCUGUGGAGAGAAAAUGUCAAACCAAAACUUUUAUCAUUAGGAGCGAAUCCCACUGACAGAAACAAGGAAUAGCUAAUUGAAGUAAGAUGAUUACCCUACAAUUUCCCUCGACUUAACACAGGUUUUUUCUGACAUAAUGUUCUCAAUUUGCCUACGAACUUCAGAUUGAUUAUGAUAACCUCAUGCUUGAAUGUCUUUGCUUUGGGAAAUUCCAUGCUUGAUCCAUCUGUUCCUGGCUAGAUGGCUGUUAGCAAAUUUUACACUCGAUGGACUAGGUUUACUACUGAUUGAUGCUGAACAGUCUUCGCUUACACUUGAUCUCCAUUUGAAUUCCUGGCUUCCUUUCAAAUCAGAUGGGAGUUUAUUAUCUGUAUCAAUAUCAAAUUGUUUUAAAUGGAAAAUGAUUUUCUUAUCAUCUCAACCAAAUAUAAAUUGGGAUUUGUUCCUGUAUUUUUGUCGUUCAGGUUCCAGCUCUGCAGAGAUUUAUGCAAAAUAGACGCUCACAUUUUCAGCAGCAUCCUGACUUUCAUAUCACAUCCUCUACGAUUCUCGCAUCAACUGUGCACAUCACAAGAUUAAAUGCAAGGAGCCCUGCUCCAACUAAUGUUGAUAUGCCUCCUGGUCCUGGGCCUAGAAUUGAUCCAUCAGUGCCAUUGCACAUCACAAGAUUAAAUGCAAGGAGUCCUGCUCCAACUAAUGUUGAUAUGCCUCCUGGUCCUGGGCCUAGAAUUGAUCCAUCAGUGCCAAGAAAUGGUGCCGCUGAAUUUUCUGGAGUUCCAGAUCGACAAGGGAAUGGAAACCAAGAUGAGUUUGGUAAUCCUCUUCAACUUGGAGGGCAACCUGAUGCCCUCCAGUCUGAAACUGGAACUAACCCUGGUUCUAUGAACUCAUUCAGCAACUUGUUGCUGUGGAUAUUAGGGGGUGCUUCUUCUGAAGGUCUAAACUCCUUUCUCUCUAUAUUUCGAGAUGUACGAGACCAUGGUCAAGUUUUUGCAGGACCACCUAGACAAGAAACUCAUGCCACCCAAAAUGCUGAAUAGAUGGAAGCUGCAAUUUUGGGCAACCUAAGGUGUGUAGUGCACAAAAGAGUAUUGGAAAACUAUCCAUGAGAACGGUGAAAUGAGGAGACCACCUAGACAAGAAACUCAUGCUACCCAAAAUGCUGAAUAGAUGGAAGCUGCAAUGUUGGACAACCUAAUUGGUGGUGCACAAAAGAGUAUGGACUAUCCAUGAGAAUAGUGAAAUGAGGCUAAGAAAUGAGGAAAGUAGGCUUUCGUCAUCUGGGCAGAUUGUAGAGAAUUCGUUAGUUGAUGAGCCACUAAAGGGAAACUCUAUGGAAAUUAUGUAAAUUUAUUUCAUUGUCACCGAUCUUUUUCCUCUUGCAAAAUUGUGUCUAUAUUAGUGUGCAUCUUAUACAUGCUUGCGGUUUUAGCCAAAAAU